CUGUGUUUGUGUGAAAAUGUCUCAGAGAUGUACGGUAACGAGGACGGGUCCAUCCCUGCCACCUUCGAGAUCCUCUACAUGAUUGGCUGGAAGCCUCACGAGUCUCAGGCCAAACCGGCGAAGAGAGGCUCGGCCAACGUGUCGUUUGGGGAUUUGUCAAAGAUCAGCCAGCCGACCGACACAAACACGUCGUAGAAGAGCCGACUGAACAGCUGACCCACCGCAGAUUGUAAAUAAUAGAUUUUUCUAUUUUAACAGCUACUGUAAUGUACUGUAAUGUUGUUGUGUCUGGAAUAAAGUUGAGCAAUGGAAAACA